rfam:Homo sapiens chromosome 20, GRCh38 reference primary assembly.
GCCGGGCAUGGUGGCUCAUGCCUGUAAUCCCAGCACUUUGGGAGGCUGAGGUGGGUGGAUCACCUGAGGUCAGGAGUUCGAGACCAGCCUGGCCAACAUGGUGAAACCCCAUCUCUA